AUGAUAGCACCCUAUGAAAUAUGUGAAUAUAUACUACUACCACUACCAACUACAACUUGUGACCAAUCACAUAAAGAUAUAUACUACUACCACUACCAACUACCACUACCAACUACCGCUGAUUGUAGCCACUGCAUACAGUGUUCGCGCCGCCAUGAUGGUGCCCGACGAGGACGGCACAGGGCGGCGGAGUCGUGCAUAUCCAGCGGUGAGAUCGAACAGCGAGGCGAGGUGACCGGCAGCGAACGGGCAGGGCCUGCGGCGUCGGCUGCAGAUCUCCUGGAACAGAGAAAAAGAGAGAGAGAGGUAGAGACUGAGGAAGGAGAGGUAGGGCGCAGGAAGAGGAGAGGGAUACUGGUGUCCAUGGUGAGGCCUCUGUUGUCCACCGGCAAACCUCCAUGGCUAAGGAGAUGCACCGCCGACCCGCGCGAGGGACGCAACCACCUGGACCCGCGCUUCCGGCCGCGGCGCUGGAUCAUGCUGUCCAAUCGCACCGAUGGCGACGGCCGCCGCUUCCUCAACCUCUCCACCGACGCCAGCGCCCGCGUCGACCUCCGGGAGCUCUCCCGGCACCACCUCGAGGCCAGCGCGGAGGGCCUCCUGCUCCUGCACGACAAGGCGAGCCACGCCGUGCACCUCCUCAACCCGCUCACCAGGGCCCUCACCGACCUCCCGCCCGUCACCGAGGACCUUGGCGGCGCGUACGCAGUCUGGACGGGGCCGUUCCAUUCCGCGGCGCGCAUCAUCUACGCCGGCGUCUCUGAUGAAACCUCCCCAUCGCCAGACCAACCCAUGUCAUGUCGAUUCUCGUCGGCCUCAACCAUGCAGGGGCGCUUCUACUUCUCAACUGUCGAAGGGUACAUAAUACAGGUGAGGCUCUGCCCAGAGCCUCGUCUGGUGCCCGUGGUCGUGGACCAGCCCAACACCGACUACAACAUGUUCUGCUACCUCGUCCCUCCCGACGACCACCACCGCGGUGGCGGCAUGCUCAUGGUUCGCUACUACCUCAGCCUCGACCACCUCAGCGCCGACGAGCGGAGAAUCAUGAAACGCAGGAGGAAGGUCAUGGACGUGAUCAGGGUGGAGCACCAUGUGAAGGCGCAACGGUGGAACCUGAUCCAGGUGUUUGAGGUGGAUGUGGCCGGGAAGAGACUUGUGCCGGUGGAGGACAUUGGCCGGCACCGCGCCGUGUUUGUCGGGGACGCGGCGUGCUUCUCCCUCUCGGCCAAGAGGCUUCCAUGCGUCGCAGGGAACGCCGUGUACAUGGGGGCGCGCGGUGCCCGCUGCCCUCCCGUCGGCGUGUGGUAUCUGGCGGACAAGACCGCUGAUCCGUCGUUUGUGUUCGCCACCGACGUGCCAGGGCUUCUAGACGAUAUAUCAGUGAAACGGUACCGCCAGAGCAGAUCCAGAGCUGAAUCUACUGCCUCUUGCUCGCCCCUGUACCCUCCAGGAGUACCUCGUCUGUUGCGCAGGCCUCCUUGGCGGCCUCAAAGACUAAUUCAGGAGGUCAUCAUCACCAAGUUAAGGGAAGUUCUGAAGGAUGAACAUACAAGCCAGUAUAGAAAAUGA
rnacentral:rRNA from 1 species